AUACGUAGGGGGCAAGCGUUGUCCGGAUUUACUGGGUGUAAAGGGCGCGCAGGCGGGAUAGCAAGUCAGAGGUGAAAUCCUACAGCUUAACUGUAGAACUGCCUUUGAUACUGUUAUUCUUGAGUUCGGGAGAGAGAGACGGAAUUCCAGGUGUAGUGGUGAAAUACGUAGAUAUCUGGAAGAACACCAGUUGCGAAGGCGGUCUCUUGGUCCGAUACUGACGCUGAGGCGCGAAAGCGUGGGGAGC
rnacentral:rRNA from 1 species